rnacentral:rRNA from 1 species
AUGGGUGUAAAAGAGGAUAGGCAACAUCUGCGUCCAUCCUGUUGUCGGAAGGAGGAAGAUUGUCUGGCCCCAACAAGAGUAGGAUACCUCAAGACACAGGCAAACAUUCAAAGCUCAGGAAACAGAGCAAAAGCAGAGGAAACAACAUGCAAGUAUUCCGAGUCCAUCUUUGUCCUCUGCAUUAUGCUUUCGCGAAGCUCGCUGAUGACCCAUCAACCUGACGAAGAUAAGUCGCUGGAGCUCAACAGAGUUUGCAAUCAAGGCCCUGGGCUCGAAAGGCAGACAGAAUUAACAGCUUCAUCAUCACGGGAUCUCCCGUGGUAUUUGUAUUCUGCAGAACACUCUUCGUCUAGGGACAUAUAUAUAGCAAGGUGUGCUGAUCUGCAUGCUAGAGACUGCCUAGUGGGUCAGUUUGGAGCUGGAUGUCAGCCAAGUUCUUCAAAUGAUACAUUUGGACUGAGAAGGAUCUCUUAUGGACUGAACAAGAAGAACUUUGACCUCACGAAGGCCUUCACCUUGGCGGCAGACGUUCAGCCUAUAAGAAUAGACAGUGACGUAAUAAAUGAGGUAGUACAAUUUGUAACACGGAGACUGGAACAUUUUUUGGUGGACGAAGGAAUUAACUAUGAAAUAGUCCGGUCAGUGCUUAUGGAGCGUGCAAACUGCCCUUACCUAGCAUCACAAACGGCAGCUGAAAUGGAAGCUUUUUCAAGAACUGAAGAUUUUCCAAAAAUUGUCAAGGCGUAUUCAAGGCCAGUUCGAAUUAUACGUGGGAAGCAAGUUGAGUCUGCUUGGGAGGUCGACGCAAGCGCAUUCCAGAAAGAAGAAGAAAAGGCCUUGUGGAGCGCCUACUUGGAGGCUGCCGAUAAGAUCCAUCCUGGAGUCGACAUCAAAACCUUCGCCGAGGCAUUCCUGCUUCUGAUACAACCCCUGGAGGAUUUCUUCAACAAUGUUUUCGUCAUGGCGGAAGACGAGAGGAUCCGCAACAAUCGGCUGGCACUGUUGCAAAAGAUUGCGAGUUUGACCAAGGGGAUCGCCGACCUCUCGGUUUUACCAGGGUUUUAG